UCCCAGGUGGCUCAGACAGUAAAGAAUCUGCCUGCAAUGCAGGAGAACCAGGUUCCAUUCCUGGGUCGGGAA
rnacentral:tRNA from 1 species